CAGCAGCCGCGGUAAUACGAAGGGUGCAAGCGUUAAUCGGAAUUACUGGGCGUAAAGCGUGCGUAGGCGGUGAGUUAAGUCUGCUGUGAAAUCCCCGGGCUCAACCUGGGAAUGGCAGUGGAUACUGGCUCGCUAGAGUGUGUCAGAGGAUGGUGGAAUUCCCGGUGUAGCGGUGAAAUGCGUAGAGAUCGGGAGGAACAUCAGUGGCGAAGGCGACCAUCUGGGACAACGCUGACGCUGAGGCACGAAAGCGUGGGGAGCAAACAGGAUUAGAUACCCCAGUAGUCCCUGUCUCUUAUAC
rnacentral:rRNA from 1 species